GAUCAUGGCUCAGAUUGAACGCUGGCGGCAGGCCUAACACAUGCAAGUCGAACGGUAACAGGAAACAGCUUGCUGUUUCGCUGACGAGUGGCGGACGGGUGAGUAAUGUCUGGGAAACUGCCCGAUGGAGGGGGAUAACUACUGGAAACGGUAGCUAAUACCGCAUAACGUCGCAAGACCAAAGAGGGGGACCUUAGGGCCUCUUGCCAUCGGAUGUGCCCAGAUGGGAUUAGCUAGUAGGUGGGG
rnacentral:rRNA from 1 species